AGCUUCACACCGCAAGACUUCGAUGCUUGACUGCUGGUGUCAGCCUAAAAUGAUAGGGUGAAGGCUGAGCUCCGGAGAGGUGUCAGAGUACAGCAGCAGUGGAGGAAUGCACCACGCAAAGGGCAUGGGAAGCUGGCCCCGCUGCUUCCCUUCUUCUCAAUUCCAGAGCAAAGGAACCAACUGCAGAGUCAUUUUCUUAAACUUUCUGCCUGUCCGCUCUUCUCAUUCUCACCAGCACCAGACAAGUGGUACCCAGGAGAGAGCUGAAGUCAGAGUUUCAGAGAAGGCUGGGCUGCAGACCAUAUAAAUAUUGCAUCAGCUCAAUUCAGUAAGAGGCUGCUGAGCUGAAUCACAUCACCAGUAAUGCAAAAAGUACCACACCACAUCAAAUCAGGUGUUGUGGUUUUGCAAGCAAACACAUCAGCCAACAAACAUCAGGGACUGUGCACAGCUGGGCUCACCCAGCCUGCUCAGCUCAGCGCCUUGGUGCAGCAUGGAGCAGUGCUGGAUGGAGCUUGGAGCCUCUGGCUGACCAUAGUGCUCAGGAAUUACUGCAGACAGCAAAAGCUGUGGUGCUCAAUCCACAUCUUCCUUAUGUCACUGCAGUACCAAACAACCCCACUGGUUUCAGCAAGGUCACACUUAUUUUCUCCCCGUGUGGUGUCCAUCAGAGCUCUGUUGGUCACUAAUUCCAAGUGCCACACUCACUCUGCAUGUGCAUGUGGGCUUCUUAGAAGAGCCAAUUAUUUAUCUGUUUCUGCUGAAAUACUGAAAGUAUCUGGUAUAAGGUAGGCACUAAGAAACUUCCAAACUGAAGUUAAAAUUGGUCUUAGUUAUGACAAAUUCAAGUAGAAGAGUUGUAAUUAUUUGCUAGGUUCAGCUAUGGGAGUCACUGUGCACACAUACCUGGAUGUCAAAGAAAAUGAUGCUUUCCUGCAUAUUGGCCUUGCUCCUGCAAAAAUGCUCCUCAGAAGCUCUGGGCAGAGGAUAGGAAUGAGGAACAGCACUUAAUGCCAUUAUGAAGACUAUCUGCCUGUGGGAUUAGCGCAGUGCAAACCCAGAGAGAAGCUCAGGUUUGUUUUGUGGGUCUUCUACAGCACAGAGGUAAGCCUUAGGAAUGCAGGAACUGAGGUGUCAGUGUGAUAGCAUCACUCUGAGUCAGCAUAAAGAACUACGUAAUUAAUUGUUUGAAACAUUCUUGGUUGUGCCUGGUGGUUUUUCCUGUCAAGGUAUUUCUGCUUGAAUAUCAGCAGCUAUGCUGAAAUGUAAAGGAGAAAUGUAAAGGAGAUAUGUUUGGCAUCCACAUUUGCCUGUUAGAAGAGAUGCUACCUUGAUGCAAUUGCUUCACAAAGUAACACUAAUUUUGUUUUUACAUCUUGCUUACAGAAUAAAGGCUCACUCUAAUUUGUGUGUUCU
ensembl:lncRNA